CGUUGUAUAUUCUUGCCUCCUUUGUUGAAGAUUAAUUGACCAUAGGUGUGUGGGUUUAUUUUUGGGCUCUCUAUUCUGUUCCAUUGAUCCAUAUGUCUGUUUUUUGUGUCAAUACCAUGAUGUUUUGUUUACUGUACCUCUAUAUUAUUCUCUGAAGUCUGAGAAGUUUAUAUUCAAGUUU